GUAAAUCCUCAACACGAAGACCCGAAUUAGAGAGCUCACACAUUGUUGAGAGGUAGUUGUAAGGUUUUAAUUUACAAACGAAUAGUAUUCUGGUUCAGUGGAGUUUCGUGUAUAAAACUCAAGGAACUAGGCUUUACCGAGUAAGCUGUUGCCUGGUACAUGGAAAUAAUUCAUUCCUCGCCGAGGAACCCUCGGGAGCAGAUUUUGGGGUGAGAAAGUGAACUUUUGCUCCUUAUUUGGUAUUAUGGUACACAUACCAAAGUUGAACUGAAUAGACCCCUUCAGAGCUUCAACUGUGGAUUUUUAGUAUAACGUGUUGUGCCAAACUUAGUUAUAUUCGACCGUCGACAAGUAGCUGCUAAAAGGAGGAAAACCAAUAUUAUUUCACUUUUCGUUCGACAUUCAUUUCUGAGCCUUUCACGAUGACGUGAGCUUAGAAACAUUUAUGAUGGGAGAUAGUACUGAAGGUGAGAAGAAAGACAUCUCGAAGGAGGAUGCUCGAGAUAAUGACCCCCUCAAAGAGACAGAACAUGAUGAAGGGAAGGAGAACUCAAACGAAAGGGAACUAGAGAAGGUGGUUGAUGAUGACGAUAUGAAGC